UACGGGGGGGGUAAGCGUUGUUCGGAAUUACUGGGCGUAAAGGGCUCGUAGGCGGCCAACUAAGUCAGACGUGAAAUCCCUCAGCUUAACUGGGGAACUGCGUCCGAUACUGGAAGGCUUGAAUCCGGGAGAGGGAUGCGGAAUUCCAGGUGUAGCGGUGAAAUGCGUAGAUACCUGGAGGAACACCGGUGGCGAAGGCGGCAUCCUGGACCGGCAUUGACGCUGAGGCGCGAAAGCCAGGGGAGCAAACGGG
rnacentral:rRNA from 1 species